rnacentral:rRNA from 1 species
AGGACGAACGCUGGCGGCGUGCUUAACACAUGCAAGUCGAACGGUGAAGGGGAGCUUGCUUCCUGGAUCAGUGGCGAACGGGUGAGUAACACGUGAGCAACCUGCCCCUGACUCUGGGAUAACAGUUGGAAACAGCUGCUAAUACCGGAUAUGACCCCUGUAGGCAUCUGUGGGGGUGAAAGCUUUUACGGUCAAGGAUGGGCUCGCGGCCUAUCAGCUUGUUGGUGAGGUAAUGGCUCACCAAGGCGUCGACGGGUAGCCGGCCUGAGAGGGCGACCGGCCACGACUGGGACUGAGAUACGGCCCAGACUCCGUACGGGGGGCAGCAGUGGGAAUAUUGCGCAAUGGGCGAAAGCCUGACGCAGCAACGCGCGUGCGGAUGACGGCUUCGGUGUAACGCUUCGAGCAGGACGAAGGUUACCUGACGUACUGCAGAAGAAGCACCGGCUAACUACGUGACCAGCGAGCCGAC